UACGUAGGGGGCUAGCGUUAUCCAGAUUUACUGGGCGUAAAGGGUGCGUAGGCGGGUCUUUAAGUCAGGGGUGAAAUCCUGGAGCUCAACUCCAGAACUGCCUUUGAUACUGAAGAUCUUGAGUUCGGGAGAGGUGAGUGGAACUGCGAGUGUAGAGGUGAAAUUCGUAGAUAUUCGCAAGAACACCAGUGGCGAAGGCGGCUCACUGGCCCGAUACUGACGCUGAGGCACGAAAGCGUGGGGAGCAAACAGG
rnacentral:rRNA from 1 species